rnacentral:rRNA from 1 species
GAUGAACGCUGGCGGCGUGCCUAAUACAUGCAAGUCGAGCGAACAAACGAGGAGCUUGCUCCUCUGACGUUAGCGGCGGACGGGUGAGUAACACGUGGAUAACCUACCUAUAAGACUGGGAUAACUUCGGGAAACCGGAGCUAAUACCGGAUAAUAUAUUGAACCGCAUGGUUCAAUAGUGAAAGACGGUUUUGCUGUCACUUAUAGAUGGAUCCGCGCCGCAUUAGCUAGUUGGUAAGGUAACGGCUUACCAAGGCAACGAUGCGUAGCCGACCUGAGAGGGUGAUAGGCCACACUGGAACUGAGACACGGUCCAGACGCCUACGGGAGGCAGCAGUAGGGAAUCUUACGCAAUGGGCGAAAGCCUGACGGAGCAACGCCGCGUGAGUGAUGAAGGUCUUCGGAUCGUAAAACUCUGUUAUUAGGGAAGAACAAAUGUGUAAGUAACUAUGCACGUCUUGACGGUACCUAAUCAGAAAGCCACGGCUAACUACGUG